GACACUAACUUUUAGCUUUUUGACUUUAGUUUACUAAAGUGGUGGAUUCCAAGGAGAAGCCUGCUCUUUUUUCAAACUGGAAAUUGCUCGGAUUUUCUGAUGGACUGCUGUGCGUUUGCAGCCCAGUCUGGCUUCCGAAUGAUCUUGCUUUUAGAGCGAGACUGAGACUCACUCCUGGACUCUGGCUGACAUCUACCUGGAGUGUUUCACCCGCCUCUGUGGGACGGUUGAAGCAGGGGAAAGCAUCAUGCCCACCCUGCCAAAUCUAAACAGCCUAGGGAGGUUGUGCAGCUCCAGCCGCAGCCACAAUGUCGACCGAGUGCGGGUCAAACGCAAGGGCUCCAUUAAGCGCAGGUCUGUCAUUGAGGACGGUCAUGUGGCUGAGGUCCUGUACCUCAUUCCUAAACAGUACAUGGAGCAGCUGCCCUACCUCAACCCAAACGACUAUUACCUGAGCGAGAGGCUGCAUGAUGUUGCUUCAGGAGACACACCAUCGCUCGACAGAGAAGCCCCUGAUCCAGUGCUUUAAGUGCGGGCAGCCAUGUAAGGGCGAGGUGCUGCGGGUGCAGAACAAACACUUCCACCUAAAGUGCUUCACCUGUAAAGUGUGCGGCUGCGACCUGGCCCAGGGGGGCUUCUUCAUGAAGAAUGGAGAGUAUCUGUGCACGCUGGACUACCAACGCAUGCACGGCACCCGCUGCAAUGGAUGCGGGGACUUCGUGGAGGGGGAAGUGGUCACUGCAUUGGGAAAGACGUAUCACCCAGCCUGCUUUGUCUGCACUAUCUGCAAACGGCCGUUCCCAGCGGGAGACAGAGUGACCUUUAAUGGGAAGGAUUGUUUGUGUCAGUACUGUCUUGAGCCAAUGUCUCCUGGACCAAAAGACAUUGUGGGCUCCAGUAACUGUGCAGGGUGUGGCCGAGACAUAAAGAACGGACAAGCCCUCCUAGCGUUGGACAAACAAUGGCAUCUGGGCUGCUUCAAGUGUAAGGCCUGCUGCAAAGUGCUAACCGGGGAGUACAUAAGCAAGGAUGGUGCUCCGUACUGUGAGAAGGACUACCAGAUCCAUUUUGGAGUACAGUGUGAGGCGUGCCAUCAGUUCAUCACAGGAAAAGUGCUGGAGGCAGGAGAUAAACAUUACCAUCCCAGCUGUGCCAGAUGCAGCAGGUGCAAUCAGAUGUUCACUGAAGGAGAAGAAAUGUACCUGCAAGGAUCAACGGUGUGGCAUCCUGGCUGCAAGAACACAACAAGGACAGAGGAGAGACACAUGGAGAGGCCUACUAGGUCGUCAUCUGAGAGUAUUUCUUCCAGACCUGGUUCAAGCAUACCUGGCUCACCGGGUCACACAAUCUAUGCAAAAGUAGACAAUGAGAUUCUUGAUUACAGAGACCUAGCUGCCAUUCCAAAAGUCAAAGCCAUUUAUGACAUUGAGCGCCCCGAUCUUAUUACCUAUGAGCCUAUGUACACCACCUCCCAGGAGGAGAGAGAGGAGAGACGAGAGAGUGUAGGAGAGCUUCUCAAUGCCAGGAGGGACCGCUCACCCUUGCCUGAUGACAAGUCGUUCAGAACCAUGUCACCAACUCUAUCCAAUGAGGGAUGUUAUGACAAGCGAGAACGCAUCCUCCAAAGGUCCACCAGUCAAGGCUCUAUAGGCUCGCCGGUUUAUAAUCGCCAUGGUUACACCCCCACUCUGUCACGGUCGCCGCAGCACUUUCACAGGCCAGAGGCUCUGACAGGCAUGCAGAAACUCUGCUCCUCCCUGUGCAGUAACAGUGUGGGCUCCAGAAAUAAUGACUCCCGCCCCACCUCCCCUUUCAGACACCACUUCCUUCCCCAUAGCCAAGGCACUGACCCACCAAGCGGCCGGAGCUCCCCUAUCCCGCUUAGGCCCGACAGCCGGCCGGGCACCCCGCCUCUCUCUCAGACCCCUAAACAUUUUCACCUCCCAGAUCAGGGCAGCAACAUUUACAGAAAACCACCUAUCUACAAACAAUACGGUUCAGAAGGAAGAAGACGAUCAAGAGAAGAAGAGGAGGAGGAGACAUUGAAACGAAAGCAGCUUCAGGAAGAACAUCUCAACAAGAUUCAGUCUGGUUUGGGAAAGCUAAUUCUAAGGGAGGAGAUGGAAAAAGAUCAGAUUAGGGAGCGUCACGCGAGGAGUCUCUCUGCUCAGCGCUACGACCCCAAGCAGAAUAAUGGAGAUGCAGAUCCAACUUCUCCAACCAAAACAAACUCUUUGCCUGGAUAUGGAAGGAAUGGUCUACAUCGGCCCCAGUCAACAGACUUCACACAGUACAACAGCUACGGUGACAUGUGUGGAGGAAGCAGAGAGUUUCAGGUAUGUCCCUCAUCUGCUUUUUCCCAUGGCAUGCUUCCUCAGCUUGAGCCACACAUUUGCUUGCAGUAGGCACCUCGCCCUGUAUGCACACCGUCCACUUGUGCGACACGCUUGCAUCGUCACCGGACAUGUUGCCGUAUGUCGUCUAGAUGUCACCUACGGGGCACGCAGUCAUUUCCAGUGCACUGCCCGGUAGCUGAGCAACUGUACUCCAUGUGCGACGUGCAAGCACCACCUCAUGUCUGGUUUUGUUUGUCUGUAUACCAAUGUCAUGACCCAAGCUAAACGUCAUAUCGACAAAUAUAAUUUCCAAAUUCACCUGAGGGACACAUAAACAUACACUUUACCGGCAGCUGCCCAUCAUAAAGACAAUAUUCCUGAGCAGUGGUGAAGCUCCUCGCUCCAUCCAGUGAUAGCUUAGUGUGCCCACUUCAUAAAAGGACGACAUACUCAUACCAUUAACCCUGCAGUCCCCUCCCACUAUAUUAUAUUUGUGUAUGUUCUAUUCUUUAGCACAUUAAGGAUGGCCGUGCAGCACUUGCAAGGAUGGACAGGGGAGUAUCUAUGCCUAAUAUGUUGGAGCCCAAAGCAAGUAUCUUCUUCUUUUUGUACUGAUAGCAACUCUGUGAACUACACUAUAUGGACAAACGUAUUGAGACACACCACUUUGGCAGUUAGUCAGUCAGACCCCUUAUUAACUCUGAUUCUUUACAGAGUCCUCAUUAGUUUUUAGAAAUAUUGUCCAAAACAAGGAAUUUAAGAUGAAAAUAAGUUUUUUUUUGUAAUCACAUGUGUCGCCAUAUUGCCAGGGCACACAUGCAUUCCUUAGCCUGUCCAAGGUCACGGGUGAGCUGGAGCCUAUCCCUGCUGACUCGUGUUGAGGUACACUAUGGACCGGUUGCCGGGCAAAUGCAUACAGUAUAUAGACACAAAAUGUUCACACCUUUGUGCAUUUUAGACUCGUCCAAUUAACCUCAUGUGAGAUAAACAUGUUAACCACACACAGUAAAGUUCAGGCUAAUGAUGCCAGUUUAUACACUGGAAAUGUCCACUAGGUCAUGCAGAUGAUCAGGAAAUAUGCAGAAUUCUCCCAUAUGUGCUGAAACUAGGUCAUUGUUGAGGAAAGUGUAGAAGACCGGGAUGAAGACAUUCGCUUUUCAAAUAAAUGCUUCUGCAAUGUCCUUCUGUGCACAAAAAAAAAGCAAUAUGUCAUCAGAAAAUAAAACACUGUGGCAAAACAAACCAGGUUGAUAAAAUAUUAGUUACUUUGGAAUGCUAUACAAAUAUGAGUUGACCUUUUUUUCCAUUUCACCUCUUAGCAUGUGCACUGCAAAUUAUGUGCCAUUUGCCAAGAUCAAAUGUUUUAUUUUUCAAAAUGUCACUAGUUUUAGGAGCUAUUUACUUAUUUCUAGUCAUUGACUAAUCCUAAUGUUAGAAUAAAUUAUUAUAUUUUGUCUAAUCUAGUUUUAAAAUUGAGAAAGUAACUAUUAAAAUAAGAUAUUUAGUUUUUUCCUCCACAUAGAAAAUAUUGUUUAAAGACUCGAUCUCGACGAUGCUUAAUUUAAGGGUUGCAAGUUGAAUAACGCUAGUUUUCUGAAUCAAAUAUGUGUUUUUAUCUCAAAAGUUCUGCAAAUUUCUAGAAAUACAAAUCUCUUUUUUAGUAUGUCUUAUUAAAUUGACGUCCAUGCAGCAAGUUAAUUUCCAUAGUUUUUCCUAAAAUUGAGUUAUUUUCUCUUAUAUUUUGACAGUGUGUAGUAUCUCACAAAUGUGAGUAAACUCUUUACAUUUCUGCAACCACGUUUAUUAUCUACUAAAGAGUUGAGUAUAAUAAAAGUCCUGCAAGCUUCAUAGCGCACACUUCCAGCCAAAGCACGAGCAACACUUCCAUCUCGAUAAUGAGACCACUACCCUGCUUAGUUUGAGUAUUUACUGUUACUUACGUAGGAAAAUAUUCUUUUAAAAUGCUCAAAAAUCUUUAUCCUUAAUGAUGGUUGCAACAGUCAAGCUGUUGGGACCAAAAUGGUAGCUAAUAUUGGUGGACAUCUGUGCUUUUUCUGAUGUUCAUUUUCACUUCAAUGGUGAUGGCUUUCCUUUUCUUUGCCACACUGCCACUAAGAGAGCUCGCCUUAUGCUUUGGAAACAUAAUAAAGUGCAAAAAGUGAACUAAUAUUUGAUGGUAUUCUUAAAGCACAUGUGCUCUAACUAGUUAUCGAGGGCAUAGGCGCCGAUCUACAUUUCUGACAGUAGGUGUGUAAAAAAAAAAAAAAAAAAAAAAAUAGACGUUCAGCGAAGUUAAUAUCCCAUAUGAUUUGUGGCUUUAUUAUUUUGUAAAACGGACCAAACUCGCCACAAAAUUAACUACAACAAGAUUGAUUUUUCAAAAAUUAUCUUAAAGAUUGAAAGUUGCCAUCAAUCCCACGUGGGUGCUUGGCAUUGUUCCAAAAACAAAUAAAAAUCCCCCAUCAGAACUUUGGGUGUUACAUUUUGAUGUUGAUUGUUGUUGGCCCGGACCCCAGGAUGCAGAGAUGGCAGCCCAAGUGCAGGUUCAAUGUAUUUUAAAAUUAAAAAAAUAAUAAAGAAUAGUGCAUCAGCAAAGUGCACAGUAGAAAAGCACAAUGAUCAUGAAAAUAAUCCUGAUUGCCAAUCACAGACAGGUGAGGGAGCCAGCGUUCAGAUGGAAGUAGUGGCAAACAGGAAAUGGGACAACAAAUUACAAGUGCAUUGGCAUUGUGUCCCAAUACUUGUGUUCAUAUACCGUGUAUUCAAAUAUGUACAGCUAGCCGACACCAAAACAAAAUACCUUAAAACGUCAAUCUCAACUGUCCUAACAAUAACAGUUUGACAUAAUGCAAUAAUGUUUACCCAACACACAGUAUACUGGAGGUUAUUUAAGCUCCCCAUAGAGCAAAAGCACUAAAUUUGAGGACUCAAGUUCCAGAUUUAGCAUGCUGCUUUAGGAUCUGCAGACCCUCCAGUGCUUAGCAUGCUGGCUUCUUCAUGUUCAUCCACACAUAGCUGUGACGUCCAGUGGCUGGAUACUGUAUGCGGCAUACAGAGAAGAAUCCAACCGUCCAUCCCAACCGCUCAUAUCGCUAAGUGCUGUAUUGUAGAGCAGUGUUUUUCAACCACUGUGCCGCAACACACUGGUGUACCGUGGGAGAUGAUGUAAUUUCACCUAAUUGGGUUAAAAAUAUUUUUUUGCAAACCAGUAAUUAUAAUCCGCAAAUAAUGUGCCGUUGUUGAGUGUUGAUGUGUUGUCUAGAGCGCGGCAGAGUAACCAUGUAAUACUCUUCUAUACCAGUAGGUGGCAGCAGGUAGCUAAUUGCUUUGUAGAUGUCGGGAACAUGGUUUGUCGUGAUCACAAUAUGAAGACGACAGCGGGAGGCAGCGUGAAGGUAAAAGGGUAGCUAAUGCUUAAACCAAAAAAUAAACAAAAGGGUUAGGGAUGGCUAUGCAAAACGAAACUAAAACUGAACUGGCUGCAAAGUAAACAAAAACAGAAUGCUGGACGACAGCAAAGACUUACAGCGUGUGGAGCAGCGGACGGCGUCCACAAAGUACACCCGUACAUGACAUGACAAUCAACAACAAAAUAGGAGCGCAAGACAAGAACUAAAACACGACACACAGGAAAACACCAAACAACUCCAAAUAAGUCAUGGUGUGAGUACACCUACUUUGAGACAAGAGCUAUAGUGAUGCAUGCUUGGUUAUGGUUUGAAUUUAUAUCCAACAAUUGCGAGAACGACUUUUUACUGUCUACUGAGUUUCAUUUUUUUUAUGUUUUCUGCUAAUGGUGUGCCUUCGCAUUUUUUCAAUGAAAAAAAUGUGCCUUGGCUGAAAAAGGUUGAAAAACACUGUUGUAGCGUACACACAACAGUGUGCAUAUGAGUGGGUUGGAGGCUUUACAAGCACAUCACCAGAAUUGUUGUACGGAUGGAAUUAGUUCUUUUUAAGAAAAGCACCUCAGUGUUCCAGCGCUUUACUGAUUGCCUAACUGUCUUCCUGUCCCUUUCUGGAUCUACUGCAUGCAAAGGAGUCUGCACACUUUAGAACCCAGCCAGCAUUUCCCCCAACAAACUAAACAAAGUGCUUUCACUCUCAGCCAGCCUCCUACCACAUACCCGUUCUCCUCCCCAGCGUUCCCACUCUCACGGUUACGAUCACAUCUCCAUAGGUCUAACUUUACCGCGUGACAAAAAAUGCUGAGUCAGGUGUGUGACCCUGUGCACUGAUGAGUGUCUCCUUUUGAAGGUGUAUCCCUAUGAAAUGCUCAUGAUUACCAGUAGAGGGAGAGCUAGACUGCCCAGAGAUGUGGACAGAACCAGACUGGAGCGCCACUUAGCACCCGAAACCUUCUUUGACAUCUUUGGAAUGGAGAUCCAGGAGUUUGACAGGCUUCCCCUGU